rnacentral:rRNA from 1 species
AAUCAACGCUGGCGGCGUGCCUAACACAUGCAAGUCGAACGCGAAAGGGGGCUUCGGCCCUGAGUAGAGUGGCAAACGGGUGAGUAACACGUGGGUGACCUGCCUUCGAGUGGGGGAUAACGUCCCGAAAGGGACGCUAAUACCGCAUGACAUCCUGCCUUUGGACAGGCGGAGAUCAAAGCUAGGGAUCGCAAGACCUGGCGCUUGAAGAGGGGCCCGCGCCUGAUUAGCAGUUGGCAGGGUAACGGCCUACCAAGGCAACGAUCAGUAGCCGGCCUGAGAGGGCGGACGGCCACACUGGGACUGAGACACGGCCCAGACUCCUACGGGAGGCAGCAGUGGGGAAUUGUUCGCAAUGGGCGCAAGCCUGACGACGCAACGCCGCGUGGAGGAUGAAGAUCUUCGGGUCGUAAACUCCUGUCGAGCGGGAAGAAUCCCUACCGGGUGAAUAGCC